rnacentral:rRNA from 1 species
AUUGAACGCUGGCGGCAUGCCUAACACAUGCAAGUCGAACGAGUGGCGGACGGGUGAGUAAUGUCUGGGAAACUGCCUUGUGGAGGGGGAUAACUACUGGAAACGGUAGCUAAUACCGCAUACCAUCGGAUGUGCCCAGAUGGGAUUAGCUAGUAGGUGGGGUAAAGGCUCACCUAGGCGACGAUCCCUAGCUGGUCUGCUAGGAUGACCAGCCACACGGGAACUGAGCCACGGUCCAGACUCCUACGGGAGGCAGCAGUGGGGAAUAUGGCACAAUGGGGGCAAGCCUGAUGCAGCCAUGCCGCGUGUAUGAAGAAGGCCUUCGGGUUGUAAAGUACUUUCAGCGGGGAGGCGUUACCCGCAGAAGAAGCACCGGCUAACUCCGUGCCAGCAGCCGCGGUAAUUC